UACAGAGGUCUCAAGCGUUGUUCGGAUUCAUUGGGCGUAAAGGGUGUGUAGGUGGCGCCGUAAGUCGGGUGUGAAAUUUCGGAGCUUAACUCCGAAACUGCAUUCGAUACUGCCGUGCUUGAGGACUGGAGAGGAGACUGGAAUUUACGGUGUAGCGGUGAAAUGCGUAGAUAUCGUAAGGAAGACCAGUGGCGAAGGCGGGUCUCUGGACAGUUCCUGACGCUGAGGCACGAAGGCCAGGGGAGCAAACGGGG
rnacentral:rRNA from 1 species